CUCGCCACCCGAGGAGAGGGAGGAUGAGAAGACCGAAGCCGUAGAGGUGCGGCCUUGGCGCCCCAUGGCGGUAACGAUCUUGCGGGUCGCGGCCGUUCUCCGAAUAGAUCUUAAGCGCCCCGUCGUUUCCUCGUAGAUGAGCGCCGAGAUGCGCUUCGCCUCGCCCAUACGCGGCAGCCGCCCGAUCGCCGGCUUCUUGAUCCUCUAGUUAUUGUUCCUUGGAACUUUCCGGUGCCGUUUCGUCCCGCCUUCUGCUGCGCACCCGGAUCGCGGAUCUGGUGGACUCCCGCGGCGGAUGGUAUGCCGUUUAUUUGAUGGUCUUCGUAUGCUCGCUUUGCCCUUGAGAUGGGAAACCGAUCCGUGGCAGCUUCUUGCUUCUUUUUCUGACCGUCGUAUUCACGAAGGUCUCUGUUCGUUGGUGGGAACGAGAAGUUGCCGGAUUCAACCUCGAGGAAAAGAACGCAGAUGAUGACCUGAAUCUGGAGCUGGGGUUGCAGCCAUGGAGUAGUCUGCCGGAGCCAGUGAUGAUGUUCACCUGCUCCUACUGCCCCCGCAAGUUCCACAGCUCCCAGGCUUUAGGAGGUCAUCAGAACGCUCACAAGCUGGAGCGGAGCCUCGCCAUGCAGCGCCGGGAGCUGGCCUUGGCCAUCCGUGAGAAGACAGACGGCUUCGGAUCUACCAGCAAUGGCGGUGUGGAUGAUAGGAAGAAGCUAGCAGUAGAGAUUGACUUGUCCUUGAGACUAUGAGAACGUUGUUAAGUUCCGAGUCAACUUGUUCCAUGUUCUUCUUCCUUGUAUUCUGAUUAAAUAGGUCAGAUCAUGAUUAGAUCAAGGUGGACUACUGUUUGAAGUAGUGAUAUAGUCUAUACUAUUGGAUGCGUUCAUUAAGAGUGCGGUCUCGUGAGUUGCCUUUAUAAGUUACUAUAGAUUUUUUUUUUCUUUAAAUUUGUAUAGAUUAACGGACGAAUUCCAGAAAACACUUUUGUUUUUGGGCUUUUAA